AACAGCGUAGGAGAGAGCUACCGCCUCAGGUUAAGCACAUACAGACUCAAAAACCGCUGCCCACGGUCGCCCCCGCCACUAUGUGUAUUUUGAAGACCAGAUGAGACAUCCAGCCUUGUGGACUGAGCAAUCACUGGAUUCUUUGUCCUUCCAUUGGUAGACAGCCAUUGUUGAAUGACCUGGACCAAAGCCUAUGAGGAUGGAUGUACUGUUACAAUGAAGUACUCAUACCUUCAGGCAUGAGGGCCAGGCCUCAUCU